UCCUCGGUAGCUCAAUGGUGGAGCAUCCGGCUGUUAACCGGAGGGUUGUAGGUUCGAAUCCUACCCGAGGAGCCA
rnacentral:tRNA from 1 species